rnacentral:lncRNA from 1 species
CGCGCGGGCGCGGGACAGACCCACGUCCAGCCAGUGGAGGCCCAAGAGCCGGCGGGCGCGUCUGGGAACCGACCCACAGACACCGCGGCGCGGGAGGGCGUGCGGGAGGCGGGCAGGAGACUUGGACUGGCAGGCGAUGUGCAGGGGAACUCGACAGACUCAACUUCCCUAAGAGGAGGAGGCGAUCUAUGAAAUAGACAGAUGUGGGAGGAAGCCCUGGGAAAUGGGAGAAGAGGCUGGUGGAUGGCAGAGUCAGUCCAGAAUGAGAGGACUACAGUCAGGCACUUUGCCGUUUCCACGAAGGGACCUGCAGGAAUGGGAGAUGGAGACCGGUGUACACUGCUCACGGAGUGGACAAUGGAAGUAGACAUUUGCCAAACAGGUUAUUGACAGCACAGAAGAAAAGACAAAAGAUCGACAGGGCAGAGAAAUGAUGCUGAAUAUACUUGUACAGUUCAAGAAGAUGCCCAAAAAAUAUAAACUGUGCUGUUAUCCAAAAAAAAAAAAAAAAAAAUUAGACCAGUUCUAGGAAUUGUUCAUCACCAACGUGUCUUAGGGGAUGACCCAGAGAUACUUGAUACAUCUGUUGAAGGACAGGAACAGCAUAUCAAAGGCCCUGAACUGAGUCUCAAAAAUUCUACCCCUCACUUCCCUCACUUCUCCAAAAAGGCCAAACGUUUGGGUAGGAUCAUAAAAGGAAACUAGUCCCCUGUGCAAGUGGAUGGGUGAAAGACGGAGCAUAAGGCUUAACAGGAAUACCUGCUCGUACAUGUUCCUUAUGACCAUUUGCUCUUCAUUGGAGGAGAUUACUCUCCGGAAGGUCCACAUCCACACUGAAAGACUUUGAGCCAAGUACACAAAAAUAUACACUAACGACUGAUUGGAGAGUUAGGUCCUGCAAGAAGUUAAAGUAAGGUAUGGAGUUGCCCUAGCAAAUUUGGAGGACACAUUGUCCUAAAGUGGGAGGCCAAUUCUAUCUGUGGAAAAGAAAGUCGGCUGUAAGGUACAUGAAUAAGUGAGAUGCAAAUACCAUCAGGAAUUAUAGCAGGACCCUACAGGAAUUUGGAGAGAGUGAUCUCAGACACCAGAGCUCUUCUCCCAGCUUUUUUCUAAAACAUACGUAAUAUUAAAUGAUAAAGACAAGUUUUUAGAAGCUAAAACUUUCCAUACGUCAUACUUUUAAUCCAAACAUGAAAGGUCUUGAUUUUAACCUGGGGUCCCUCCAAUUCCCUUAUUGCUGGAGUGCAUACUGAGGAUGAGGCUGGAGACUGGAGGUAGGGAGAGGGUUAUUUUCAAAUUUUUUGCCAAGGCAUCUCAAAAUCAAGCUUAUGCCACGGGUAAAAGUUAUUUACUUAUGGAAAUUUUAGGGAAAAAUCACUCCAACUAUUUCUAAACAUCAUAAAGACAUGGAAAAUUACACUUUCCCUGCUGUGAAAGAUAUCUUUCGACCUUUUGUCCAGUCAAAUAACUCAAAAACAGCUAAACUUUGAAACCAGACCUUGGCACACAUUGUAUGUACUGUCCUCAAUGAGGCGUUCAGAGUUUUCAAAGUAAAAAAAAAUGGCUUGAAAUUAAGUACAAGUGAAUAACUUUAGAAAUGACGCAGUGAGCACGCGCUGUGGACAGAACCAUGAAACAGUGCCCUGAGCAGCUGGACCGCAGUCUGAGCCACGUGAAGAAAGUGUCUCCAACAACCUGCCUCAUACAUUACACUGGGAAAAACAUUUUCUUCCCAGCAAACUUGGCUAAUCCAAACUAUAAAUGUAGUCUUAGAUUAUAUGUUUUGCCAUAACUGAAAUAUACACAGAUUUAUUCACUUUCAUGAAUCUAGUAAUGUUUCUGUAGACUUUCUUUAUAUUCAAUUGUAAAGAUUUUGUAUAGGCAUUUGUAAUUUUGAUUGUUAUAUGCUCCCUAUUAUAGAACGUAGUGUAGGAAGUCUGAGUCCAUGGUAUUAAAUAAGGAUUCAGACAAAGAUAAAUGAAGCUAAAUUUAUUAGCAGUUGAAGGUAGCAGAGCUACUUUCCCCCACCUGAUCACUAGAGAAAGUUUAUCACUCAGUCUUACAUAACACAUUCCUUUAUGAUAAAGUGUGUAAAGUCUAUAUGUAGAUGGAGCUCUCAUUCUUUCUGAUUGACAAGACUUUCAUGAGUCAGUACAGAUUAAAAAUCCUUGUGACCCAAGGAGUUUAAAUUAAAAUACUAUUACUUUUUACUUUUAUUAUCCUGUAACUAUGCAAUACAGGGCAUUAUAUAGAAAGUGCUAGAUGCUGGGCACUGUGGGACCACCAUAAAAAUGUCCUUGUCCCCCAAAAGCUUACAAUCUAAGUAAUUUCCAUAGGUGGUAAAUGGAUAUGUGAGCAAGGAAAACUAAAAACCAUAGUAACCUCCUAAGGAGAACCAAAAUGUCAUAGAUCCUCCAACCAUCUUUAGAAAGGAAAUAAAUCAAUACAGCUUUAUUUAUAAACAUGUAAUUUUAGAGGCUUCCAGUAAAUUCAUACAAUAAAAUAAAAAAACAUAUAUAAAAAAAUGAGGACCAACGAAACUAACUAGACUAGGAGGUUAACACCAAAGAAAAAGUAAGGACAAGGAUCUGCAGGUUAUGAGGUAUUAACACAAUACAAUAGUUAAGCCAUAAAUGUAGAGCUUUCUGGCAGCCAAAGCAAAAAAGGUGAAUGUAAUCAGUUGCUUGCUUCUCAUUGGAGAAGCAUACAAAUGUAGGAGAAAUAUACAAAUUCUUUUGGUAACUGUCUAUGAAAGUUGAGAGCACAAUAUGAAUGACCUACUGAAAGCAGUUAAUGGGGCCACAGUAAUGCAACAUAGAUAUUUAGGCUUCUGCAGAUUCCAUCUAACCCAUGGGAAACUAAUAAACCAAAGUUAAUGUCUCAAUCUCAAAUGCCCAUAGUAGUCAGGCAGGCAUAAUGAAUGAGUGAAGCAGGCUAGUGUAGACAAACGCAGGAGUAAUAGCAAAUUUGGAGACGUGUCCUACUUAAAGAUGGAAACCACUAUGCACUACUUGGGUCAGUUUCAGCUUACUGGCCCAAUGUUUCCAGUUUCAAUUUUCCAAGAACAGCUGGAAAACUGAAUUUUUAUGUUAUAUCUCCUGGUCGUAAAAUUUUGUCAACUAAUUUUUUAAAAAUUUAAACACAGUGUAGAUCAAAUAAAUCAUGUUAAGUAAAUCAUAUUUAGCCUGGGAGCUUCCAGUUUGCGAACCUGAUCUAGAACAUCAUCUUAGCGUUACUUCUCAGCAUAGCUUGUAAGACUGUAAUGCCAACAGUUAGACCCAGCAUCAGGCCAAACUACUUGCAUUUUUCUAAAUUUAUCUACUUCUCCUGCGUGAUAUUCAAUUAAAUAUUUUUUGUUGGAAUGAAUGGCCACUCUCUGAGAAAGCUAACUGAUCAUAGUAAGUUUUGCCUAAACAAAAGAUUCUUAACAAAAGAAAGAUGAUCUGCAUGGUAACUUUAAAAAAGAGAGAGUUCUCACAGUUCAAAAAAGGUUUCAGUUCGUUUCUAAGAAGGGAACUUGGUCCAUAUACAUGAACAUAUAUCCAGCCUGUGAGUCAGGGCCAUUCUUAAAAUGAGAUGGAUGCAUCAGGCUGACAUAGCUGUGCAAGCAUACCCAAUUGGAACUUCCAAGUCAAUGACUUUAAAUUGCAGGAACAUCCUCAAAAGAAUUUGUAAUAACUCUAUCCCUUCUUAUGUAUUCCAAUUGACUUCUAAUUUUGUCAUUAUAAAUUUAAAUGGCUGCAAAGGAUGUACUUACCUUUCGUAAUGAUGGUCAUUUAAAAAUAAAGCCAUUAUAUAACACUUAAAAUGUAUGCAAUGGAAUCUAAAUACCAUAACAAUUUGAUAUUUCAUUAUUCUUUUAAAAAGACAUAAACAUGUUUCUUGAAUGGUAUGAAAUUUUACAUGAUUCCUUUUUCUCCUUGAACUCAUAUUCCCAUUCUACUUUCUCCAAAGAAGUGUAAUAUGCUUUAUGCUUAGAAGUCUUUUGUUGAUACCCUACAAUCUUUAUCUGCAACAAAAAUAUCCUUGUAAAUUGAUAGUAAAGAGAAAUAAUUUUCCUCCAGAUUGAAUUAUCAGUACAAUUACUACUAAUUUACAUUUGAUCUAAGCAAUAUACAUGUAUUACAAGUUUUGAGUAAAGCUUUUUGAACAAAAAUUGCAUUGGAAAUCAAUCUAUUGAUAAGAUGAAUAGGAUCUUUAAAAAUUAAUUCAUGUACCCAUGGAUGAAUAUUACUUAAUGCUAGAAUGGGAGUUUAACAUCAAUUUUAUUCUUAGUCUUUAUUUAUACAGAAGUAAGGUUUGAGAAACCAUAUUCAUACACAAAUAGAUAGAAAUGGAAGGGUUUUGUUACUAAACCAUCACUCAAUUUGUUGAUCUCCUUAGUAAUAUCUCCUUAGUAAUACAUCAUGUUAUGAUCUUCUAUCAAACAUUAUUUUUAAUGAUCUAUACGCUGAUGUUUUAAAUGUGUUCCUUCAACUUUGUUGAAAGCUAAGAGUUAAAAGCUACCUGACUUGAAAGAGGAUUUUUUACAAAGCUAUUAUAGCUCAUCACUAUAAUUCACUUCAAUUUUGAUGAAGAUUACCAAAAAAGCCUUUGCCAAGACUUAUCAAAUGACUGUUAAUUGUACUGUUUCACGUAGAGGCAAUUAUUUAACUCAACAGGCUCAGAAAAGGGAAGGAAAAUGGGAGCAGUGUUAAUUUUAAGACUCUCUUACAAAUACAGUUUUGUUAAAUAAAAUGUUUAUAUCUUAUCACACGUUUUAAAUACAUUUUUGUCAAAACCUUGGACUGGAGCCCUAAAUCUUUCACUUGUGGAAAAUGUCUGCCACAUAACCUAACAAGCAAACGCUGUCCCUUUUGUCAAACCAAACUGCCAAGUCUGACUUGAAAAGUCUGAUUUCAUUUUUCAGUUCUAAGAAGCCUAUUAAUUCUUAUUUUGAGAUAUAUUUUAAACCACUGAGAAAUAAAUUACAAAACGUAUUAUAAGAUAGAUUACUAAAAGCAUGCAAUUCAAGAUUAAAAUGAUGUCAGAUCUAACCGAAUUAAUUUUUUCAUUUUAUAAGUUAUAAAAAGAGUAAUCAAUACGCAGUUCAUCACUUAGCUUGUUAUAAUACAAUGUAGCAUGUGGCUACAAGUAAUGUUAUGUAUAUUGCAAAGAAUAUGAUAAAAGGCAUGGUAUUUCUUUGGUAAACAAGUGUUACGGACUGAAUAUUUAUGUUCUCCCCAAAUUCAUAUGUAGAAGCCCUAACCCCCAGUGUGGCUAUAUUUGGAGAUGGGGCCUCUAAGGAAGUAAUUAAGAUCCCCAUGCUACCUUCUUGGACUUUGCUGCUCUCAUUAUAUUCAAACUUUGGCCACUUUCUUGGCCCCUGCUUCCUGGGUUGUCUUUGUUUUCUGGCUCUCAGCUCCCUCCUAAGUGGUAGCUGGUACUUUGGGGGCUUAACUGUGCAAACCUGCAGCACCUUGAACUUGCCUUUCCCAGAUGUUCUCUGACCUUGCCCACUGCUUCUUGAGUACUGCAAACAACACCUGCCAUUAACUCUGAAGUUUAGACAGGCUUUCCAGGAUGCCAGGGGCCAGAGCAGAGCAGGAAAAGGGUGACCUUGGUCCAAUAGGAUUAGUGUCCUUAUAAGAAGGGACACUAGAAAGCUUGCUCUCUCACAGGUGCACAUUCUCCCUCUCUCUCUCUCUUUCUCUGCGUACAUGCAUCAAGGAAAACCUGUGUGAGGACACGGUGAGAAGACAACUGUCUGCAAGCCAGGAAAAGAACCCUCACCAGAAACUGACUCUGCCGGACCUUGAUCAUGAACUUCUCGCCUCCAGAACUAUGAGAAAAUAAAUGUCUGUUGUUUAAGUCACUCAGUUUGUGAUUUUUUUUUUUUAUGGAAGCCCAUGCAGACUAAGACAACAUGUGUGCAGUAUUUGCUUUUGAAUCUGGUAUUGCU